AGGCCGCAAUAUUACAACCUACCCAUCCCUCUUCCCGAGCUUUCCUCCAGCCCCGAAAUUGUCAAAGAUACUUACCUCCAGUCUUGAGUCCAGAUUAUCUCUGCCGGCGUGCAUUUAUCCUCCAUAAGCGUCGCAUCCGUUUGUGUUUAUGUUUUUUUCCAGCAGGAAUUCAUCAGCAUUGUGUUCGUUUUCUUUUGUCUCUUCGGUGUCAUGAUAGGGCAGCAGUAGAAAUGUUGGAAUGUGGGAAGCGAAGAGUGUCAGACUGGCAUCCAAAAUGGCGCCCCUAACGCAGAGCCCUUUGUGGUGGCAAUCCUGAUAACUUUGAAGGAAAAACACAACCAUUCAUCACAAAGGAGAGGGAUCAUUCCUGCAGUUUACUGUCACCCCCCGCAUGGGUGUGCGUCGCAGUGGUAGAUUUCACACAUGUGGUCAUUGUCUCCUCCACAUUCUUGUUCCCACCCUCUUGUCCCAACUGUGAAGCAGCAACACCAGGGGAUGCUCAUUGCUGUGCGCAAGCUGCCAACGACUUCAUUGAAGGCGGGUUUCAGGAAAGCCAUAAAAAAUGCGGGGUGUGGUGCGGUGGGCCCAUGCAACUGGUGAUGACUAGCACUGUGAUGCAUGCGCAAAUUGGGUAGAGAAUUAUUUUACAGCAGCAGGAAUCAAGUGGAAUCGCAGGGUACAAAUGCUGCGGAGGCUCUGUGGUAAACGUGGUACUCGAGAGCAUGCCCACUCAAUCCCUCACUUGCCAGUAGGUGUAAUCUUGCGAUUACUGUUCAGAUUUUUGCCGGUGUGGAAAGCGUGUACUUCAUGCAGAUUCCAGGGAGAAAGCUAACUUUGAAAGGAACCUCAGUUUAAGUUUCUCAUGGGGAAGUUACUCGUCGCAGCUUGUAAGUUACUGACGACAAUGACGGUGGGCAAACGGACUCUUUCAAUUACCAUGUGUUGGAGGACAAUUAUGAACAAGUUUUUACAGACGGAAUGUUACAUAGGAGAAGACUGACGGUGUUCGGUCCGUGCUCUACAAUUUCUACACGCCUUAACGUAGUACAUGGACAACGAGGUUGGUAGUGGUGGUGAUUUUGAUUCAGGAUUAGCGCUCAAAGUGGAGCUGCACAGAGGCUGAUUAGUCAAAGAACGCAUAUGAUUCCUUUAAACCAGCCUGUGAGGGCAAGUGGUGGAAAUCCGGCCAUCAUACAUAUCUGGAAAGGAUCCAGGAUGCGAAGAGGCGCGAAGGAUCCUCAAAAGCAUCGCCUGGUCGUCGCAUAAAUAUAAUUGCCAGAAAAUUAUUUACACUUUUUCGACCCAGCAAAAGCAGCAUCAAAAGAAGGUUGUUAUCAGAAUCACGAAGAUAAGGAGGUGGCAGUUAUUUCUGUUGUGACAAUAGUAAAGGCGGAGCGAAUCCUGGCGGAGCUGGGGCGCUAGAACAUUCUCAUCUACGCCUCGGCUGGCUCCCCGAUUUCAGCCCCCCUCUCUUUUUCUUUCCCCUCCCAAUUAUUUCAUGCAAACUUACUGUGGCCGUAAUAAUCACCGAACUUCGCACCUCUAUUGUCCAAAUCGGUCCCCUCCGCUCUCUUCUUGUUGAUUCAAACAAUAAUAUUUAUUAAAAAACCCAAAGUAAUCUAAAGAAAGAUUCUCCCUUGCUUU